rnacentral:ncRNA from 2 species
AAUUUGUUUCAGGGCGAGGUGAAAUUCCUCACCGGUGGUAUAGUCCACGAGCUUUUCCGAAAGGGAGAGCAUGAUUCGGUGCAACUCCGAAACCGACGGUAAAUGUCAGGCUUACGCUUGUCACAAGUCCGGAUGAAAGAAACACAGC